AUGGAAGUCCAGCAGAAGAUGUUGAUGCAAGAGAGAGUUCAUUAAAAGCAGGUUGGUGACAGCACCAUAAGGAGUCUGUGUUCCUGCACAAAGAUUAAGUGUGUGACAGUGUCUGUCGAGUUCAUAUUUCAAACCAGGAGACAUCCUCAGUUCCUGAGAAUAAACUCAGUAGGUUGUUUCAUUUAGAGUUCAGUGUAAGUAAUACUUAAAGGGAAAUUUGUACUAUCUGUGCUAUUAGCAGGAUCAAAUGGAAUAGCUAAAAUAAGGUUGUGUAUUUGAUCAAAUUUACCAAAUUUGACAUUAUUACAAUUAAAUUCUGCUUUUUAAACACCGGUCAGAAAUCGUUUAGAUUGAGAUUAAUUACAAAUCAGGAUUUUUUGUUUUCACACUAGAA
ensembl:lncRNA